rnacentral:rRNA from 1 species
GGACGUAGGUAGUUGUACGUCGUGCACGAGACGACGCGUGGCGGCGUGGAUUAGGCAUGCAAGUCGAACGGUAUCAUCCGUUUCGGGGGUGAGAGAGUGGCGAACUGGUGAGUAACACGUAGGUUAUCUACCCUCAAGACGGGGACAACCCAGGGAAACUUGGGCUAAUACCGGAUGUGAGCAACUUUUAGUUGUUUGAAAGGUGGCGUAAGCUGUCGCUUGGGGAUGAGCCUGCGUCCUAUUAGUUAGUUGGUGAGGUAACGGCUCACCUAGGCAAUGAUAGGUAGGCGGCCUUAACGGGUGGUCGCCCACACUGGGAUUGAGAUACGGCCCAGACUCCUACGGGAGGCAGCAGUCGAGAAUAGUCUACAAUGGUCGGAAGACUGAUAGUGCGACGCCGCGUGAACGAUGAAUCCCUUCGGGGUGUAAAGUUCUUUUAUAUGUGAGCAGUGCUUCUUAUAUUAACAGUAUGGGGAGAGAGAUAUUAGCAUAUGAAUAAGCAACGGCUAACUCCGUG